rnacentral:lncRNA from 1 species
UAUUAUGCUGCAACUGGAUUGAGACAUAAAAGGAGGCAGUUCAGGAAUAGGAUACAUGGAUUGAAAACAUUGUACACCUUCUGGAGGGGCUUGCAGAAAGAAAGUGGCUUGGGAAAGGCUUCAAAUGGUACUGUCACAGCUACAGAUACCUGGUGGGAGAAUAACACUAAGGUAAGCCACAGCUUCAAAUGCUACUGACUGUGGUAUAAAAACACAAAGGUAACCUGUCUUGCAUUUGUUUUGCAGGGUCCCAAAUCAGAAUGUAAGAAGUUCAGAUAUGGUGUUCCAGAGUACAUGGACCAUCUUGAGGAGAUAUUCCAUGAGGUUGUAGUAGAUGGGUCUACCUCCUUCAUACCAGGAGAAGAAGAUGAAGAACCUGAAGAAGAAGAUGAAGAACCUGAAGAAGAAGAUGAAGAGCUUCCUGGAGAGCAGGGGUUCCCUGCUGAUUAUGAUGACAGCCCUGGUAGUACUAAUAGCAGAAAGAGGCUUAGUAGCAACAGCACUAGGUCCACUGCCUCAAGUCCUGGAAAGAAGUCCAAGAGUCCUA